CAGUCGCCGCGGUAAUACGUAGGUGGCAAGCGUUGUCCGGAAUUAUUGGGCGUAAAGGGCUCGCAGGCGGUUUCUUAAGUCUGAUGUGAAAGCCCCCGGCUCAACCGGGGAGGGCCAUUGGAAACUGGGAAACUUGAGUGCAGAAGAGGAGAGUGGAAUUCCACGUGUAGCGGUGUAAUGCGUAGAGAUGUGGAGGAACACCAGUGGCGAAGGCGACUCUCUGGUCUGUAACUGACGCUGAGGAGCGAAAGCGUGGGGAGCGAACAGGAUUAGAUACCCGGGUAGUCCCUGUCUCUUAUAC
rnacentral:rRNA from 1 species